ensembl:lncRNA ULK4P1 ULK4 pseudogene 1
CGCGCCCCUCCCGCCGGAGGUGAGGGGAAGAUGUCCAUGUCCGGGUUCAAGGCCAAACCGAAGUUACUGGCUUCUAUCUUCCAGGAGAACCAGGAGCCACAGCCGCGGCUCACGCCCCACCGCAACAUUAAGAUUACAAGUGGACACCUGAGUCAGCAGGACCUGGAAUCCCAGAUGAGAGAGCUUAUCUACACGACUCAGAUCUUGUUGUCACCCCCAUUAUUGACAAUCCAAAGGUGCAGAAAGCACUCUGACAAAUGGGCCAAGGUUGCUCGGGUGAUUGGUUUACUGGCUUCGCACAAAACUGAUCUCCAGGAAAAUACACCUGUUGUUGAGGUAAUGUCUUUUAUGACUGAAAUGUGAUGAAUGACAAGAAGUACUGUUGUUGAUUCUGUAAUUUAGAACAUGCGGCUUUCCUUGACCUUCACUUGACUUUUCUUUGUGGGAUUGUGGAAAUUGUUCAAAAACUUAUCACCUCAACAGACCUUUAGGCUUAAACAUAGCGGCUCAUUUACAAUGUAGUCCAUCAUUAAAAUGGCACAGCAGAGUUAACAAGGCUCGUGAACCCUACUCAUCAUUAUU